rnacentral:rRNA from 1 species
AUUGAACGCUGGCGGCAUGCCUUACACAUGCAAGUCGAACGGUAACAGGUCUUCGGAUGCUGAUGAGUGGCGAACGGGUGAGUAAUACAUCGGAACGUGCCUAGUAGUGGGGGAUAACUACUCGAAAGAGUGGCUAAUACCGCAUGAGAUCUACGGAUGAAAGCAGGGGAUCGCAAGACCUUGUGCUACUAGAGCGGCCGAUGGCAGAUUAGGCAGUUGGUGGGAUAAAAGCUUACCAAGCCGACGAUCUGUAGCUGGUCUGAGAGGACGAUCAGCCACACUGGGACUGAGACACGGCCCAGACUCCUACGGGAGGCGGCAGUGGGGAAUUUUGGACAAUGGGCGAAAGCCUGAUCCAGCAAUGCCGCGUGCAGGAUGAAGGCCUUCGGGUUGUAAACUGCUUUUGUACGGAACGAAAAGCCCCGGGUUAAUACCCUGGGGUCAUGACGGUACCGUAAGAAUAAGCACCGGCUAACUACGUGCCAGCAGCCGCGGUAA